AGAGUUUGAUCCUGGCUCAGAACGAACGCUGGCGGCGUGCUUAACACAUGCAAGUCGAGUGCGCGUUUCUGUAGCAAUACAGGAAUGGCGCACGGCGCACGGGUGCGUAACACGUGGGUAAUCUGCCCUCUGAUGGGGAAUAACCCGCCGAAAGGCGGGCUAAUUCCGCAUAACAUUCCUUGGACUCCGGUUCGAGGAUUCAAAGGCGUAAGUCGUCGGAGGUGGAGCCCGCGCCCGAUUAGCUAGUUGGUGAGGUAACGGCUCACCAAGGCAAUGAUCGGUAGCUGGUCUGAGAGGAUGGCCAGCCACACUGGAACUGAGACACGGUCCAGACUCCUACGGGAGGCAGCAGUGGGGAAUCUUGCACAAUGGGCGAAAGCCUGAUGCAGCGACGCCGCGUGGGGGAUGAAGCUUCUCGGAGUGUAAACCCCUUUCGACCCGGACGAAUGCCCCGCAAGGGGAGUGACGGUACGGGUAUAAGAAGCCCCGGCUAACUACGUGCCAGCAGCCGCGGUAAUAC
rnacentral:rRNA from 1 species